rnacentral:rRNA from 1 species
UACGAAGGGGGCUAGCGUUGCUCGGAAUCACUGGGCGUAAAGCGCACGUAGGCGGACUCUUAAGUCGGGGGUGAAAUCCUGGAGCUCAACUCCAGAACUGCCUUCGAUACUGAGAGUCUCGAGUCCGAGAGAGGUGAGUGGAACUGCGAGUGUAGAGGUGAAAUUCGUAGAUAUUCGCAAGAACACCAGUGGCGAAGGCGGCUCACUGGCUCGGUACUGACGCUGAGGUGCGAAAGCGUGGGGAGCAAACAGG